rnacentral:rRNA from 1 species
GACGAACGCUGGCGGCGUGCUUAACACAUGCAAGUCGAACGGAAAGGCCCUGCUUUUGUGGGGUGCUCGAGUGGCGAACGGGUGAGUAACACGUGAGUAACCUGCCCUUGACUUUGGGAUAACUUCAGGAAACUGGGGCUAAUACCGGAUAGGAGCUCCUGCUGCAUGGUGGGGGUUGGAAAGUUUCGGCGGUUGGGGAUGGACUCGCGGCUUAUCAGCUUGUUGGUGGGGUAGUGGCUUACCAAGGCUUUGACGGGUAGCCGGCCUGGGAGGGUGACCGGCCACAUUGGGACUGAGAUACGGCCCAGACUCCUACGGAGGCAGCAGUGGGGAAUAUUGCACAAUGGGCGGAAGCCUGAUGCAGCAACGCCGCGUGCGGGAUGACGGCCUUCGGGUUGUAAACCGCUUUCGCCUGUGACGAAGCGUGAGUGACGGUAAUGGGUAAAGAAGCACCGGCUAACUACGUG